AUUGAACGCUGGCGGCAGGCCUAACACAUGCAAGUCGAGCGAGCCGCGGGCGGGUGAGCAAUGAAUGGGGAUCUGCCUGGUGGAUGGGGACAAGUAAUGGAAACGGUAGCCGAUACCGCCUACCUUCAGCUGAGCCCAUAUGGGUUUAGCUUGUAGGUGAGGUAAAGGCUCACCUAGGCGACGAUCCCUAGCUGGUCUGAGAGGAUGAUCAGCCACACUGGGACUGAGACACGGCCCAGACUCCUACGGGAGGCAGCAGUGGGGAAUAUUGCACAAUGGGCGCAAGCCUGAUGCAGCCAUGCCGCGUGUAUGAAGAAGGCCUUCGGGUUGUAAAGUACUUUCAGUCGGGAGGCGUUACCGACAGAAGAAGCACCGGCUAACUCCGUGCCAGCAGCCGCGGUAAUAC
rnacentral:rRNA from 1 species